CCUACGGGCGGCAGCAGUGGGGAAUAUUGGACAAUGGGCGAAAGCCUGAUCCAGCCAUGCCGCGUGUGUGAAGAAGGCCUUCGGGUUGUAAAGCACUUUCAGUGGGGAAGAAAGCCUUGGGGCUAAUACCCUCGAGGAAGGACAUCACCCACAGAAGAAGCACCGGCUAACUCCGUGCCAGCAGCCGCGGUAAUACGGAGGGUGCGAGCGUUAAUCGGAAUUACUGGGCGUAAAGCGCGCGUAGGCGGUCUGAUAAGCCGGUUGUGAAAGCCCCGGGCUCAACCUGGGAACGGCAUCCGGAACUGUCAGGCUAGAGUGCAGGAGAGGAAGGUAGAAUUCCCGGUGUAGCGGUGAAAUGCGUAGAGAUCGGGAGGAAUACCAGUGGCGAAGGCGGCCUUCUGGACUGACACUGACGCUGAGGUGCGAAAGCGUGGGUAGCAAACAGGAUUAGAUACCCCGGUAUC
rnacentral:rRNA from 1 species